rnacentral:misc_RNA from 1 species
UUUCCGUAGGUGAACCUGCGGAAGGAUCAUUAUUGUAUAACCGAGGUGCGAGGGCUGUCGCUGACCCGAAAGGUCGUGCACGCCCGAGUGCCCUCACACAAAUCCAUCUCACCCCUAUGUGCACCACCGCGUGGGUCCCCCUUUGGCUUGUUCGGAGGGGGGCUUACGUUUUCACACAAACUUUGUAUGCAGUGUAGAAUGUAUUUUUUGUUUUUGCGAUCACGCAAUCAGUACAACUUUCAACAACGGAUCUCUUGGCUCUC